CGAGACAAGACUUCCUCUGUCAAGGCAUGACUCAUGCAAAUGUCAGUGGAUUUAUGUUAGGUCUUUUAAGCUGAAAUUCUCAAGGUGCAUCUUUCAGCCAAGCUACUAAUACAGUUUGGUACUUUCCUAGCUGUUGCAAUUAUUCGUCCUGAUUGUUCAUUAGCAAAACCCUAGGUCUCCUGAAUUAUUCAUAUCUCAAGAACAACCACAAAAAUGUAUUCUGAUCGGAGACAAGGGUCUUGGCCCCGCCAAGAAUGAAGUAUUGGCCCUGUCCUAGUCCCAUGCAAAUGAGAGUCAUGCAGACCAUUGUUUUUUAAUGUACUGAUACUACACGUCACUAGAAUCCACAUAUAUAAAUACCUUCCAGUUAUCCAGAUCAUCUGGAAACGAGGCGUCAAGGAAAUCUCAACCAUCUUGAACAUUCCGUUUUUCCUGGUGUAUAAGAUAGAAUCUAAAGAUGAAAGUGGUAUUUCUGAUCACUUUCCUUUUGGUCACGGCUCACUGCACACCAGUACAAGAAUUUUAUCCUGGAAUUCACCAGGAUUACUUCUUAAACUGGCAGAGGAUACAUCACAGAAUGAGGCCAUAUCAACGAUUCCUGUAUCACACGUGCCUUCAGAGGCUUUAUGAGCUCUGCAAUACCUGUAGGAAACCACCAGUGAACAGACAGACUACCGUAGACUCCUUGCUACCGUUCUCACCAGCGACAGAGACUGGUCCUCCUCUGACUCCUACCGCACCAGGCCCCUUUACCCCACCAGGCCCCUUUACCCCUGACACACGGGGAGACAUAUGAUUCAUGAAGUUCCACAGAGGCUUCCUAGCCAAACACAGCAUUCUUUCCCCUGCAUUGUUUAUCACCACAACUGAUGAUCAGAGAUUCUCUCUGCUCCUUGGACCACAGCGCACCCUUUUCAGUAUCCUGGAUAAAACGGCAAUGCUUCAUUUAAAAAAAUGCUUUUAUCACU
rnacentral:lncRNA from 1 species